rnacentral:rRNA from 1 species
GAUGAACGCUGGCGGCGUGCCUAAUACAUGCAAGUCGAGCGAACGGACGAGAAGCUUGCUUUUCUGAUGUUAGCGGCGGACGGGUGAGUAACACGUGGAUAACCUACCUAUAAGACUGGGAUAACUUCGGGAAACCGGAGCUAAUACCGGAUAAUAUUUUGAACCGCAUGGUUCAAAAGUGAAAGACGGUCUUGCUGUCACUUAUAGAUGGAUCCGCGCUGCAUUAGCUAGUUGGUAAGGUAACGGCUUACCAAGGCAACGAUGCAUAGCCGACCUGAGAGGGUGAUCGGCCACACUGGAACUGAGACACGGUCCAGACUCCUACGGGAGGCAGCAGUAGGGAAUCUUCCGCAAUGGGCGAAAGCCUGACGGAGCAACGCCGCGUGAGUGAUGAAGGUCUUCGGAUCGUAAAGCUCUGUUAUUAGGGAAGAACAUAUGUGUAUGUAGCUGUGCACAUCUUGACGGUACCUAAAGAGAAAGCCACGGCUAACUUCGUG